UACGGAGGGUGCAAGCGUUAUCCGGAUUCACUGGGCUUAAAGGGUGUGUAGGCGGGCUGUUAAGUCAGUGGUGAAAUCUCCGGGCUCAACCCGGAAACUGCCAUUGAUACUAUCAGUCUUGAAUCUUGUUGAGGUAGGCGGAAUAUAUCAUGUAGCGGUGAAAUGCUUAGAUAUGAUAUAGAACACCGAUUGCGAAGGCAGCUUACUAAACAAGCAUUGACGCUGAGGCACGAAAGCGUGGGGAUCAAACAGG
rnacentral:rRNA from 1 species